AAUCCCUGGCAAUGGGCGAGACACACCUGACUGUGGUGUUGCUCAUACCAGUCAGGGCAGGUGCACAGUCCUUAGUUCAUCCUGGCUUGUUGCCUGGGCUGGUGGCUAGAGCUGGCUCAUGGCUGGGGCACAUUA